AUUGAACGCUGGCGGAAUGCUUUACACAUGCAAGUCGAACGGCAGCACGGGGGCAACCCUGGUGGCGAGUGGCGAACGGGUGAGUAAUACAUCGGAACGUGCCCGGUCGUGGGGGAUAACGUAGCGAAAGUUACGCUAAUACCGCAUACGAUCUGAGGAUGAAAGCGGGGGACCUUCGGGCCUCGCGCGAUCGGAGCGGCCGAUGUCAGAUUAGGUAGUUGGUGGGGUAAAGGCCUACCAAGCCGACGAUCUGUAGCUGGUCUGAGAGGACGACCAGCCACACUGGGACUGAGACACGGCCCAGACUCCUACGGGAGGCAGCAGUGGGGAAUUUUGGACAAUGGGCGCAAGACUGAUCCAGCCAUUCCGCGUGCAGGACGAAGGCCUUCGGGUUGUAAACUGCUUUUGUAUGGAACGAAAAGGCUCUGGCUAAUACCUGGGGCUCAUGACGGUACCGUAAGAAUAAGCACCGGCUAACUACGUG
rnacentral:rRNA from 1 species